rnacentral:rRNA from 1 species
UACGGAGGGGGCGAGCGUUAUUCGGAAUUAUUGGGCGUAAAGGGUGCGUAGGCCGCACGGUAAGUCAGAGGUGAAAUCCCGGAGCUCAACUUCGGAAUUGCCUCCGAUACUGCCGUGCUUGAGGACUGGAGAGGAGAUUGGAAUUCACAGUGGAGCAGUGAAAUGCGUAGAUAUUGUGAGGAACACUAGUGGCGAAGGCGAAUCUCUGGACAGUUCCUGACGCUGAGGCACGAAGGCCAGGGGAGCAAACGGG